AUGGGCGUCGAGGAGCAAGUUGUGCAGCAACCGGACGGCGGCGGAAAGCCUGAUGCCGCCACCGCCAAGUCACCAACUCCGGAACACGGUCAGCAAAAACCGAGCAGCCCCCGUGUAUCAACCUGCAGCACCGAUAAAGAUGACGGCCUUGCUCUCUGUCGGGUGUGCCACUGCGUGGAGCCUGAUCUGAGAGGCGAGUCUGCACUGGGUUUCCUAGGCAUUGUACCGCCUUCGCCAGACCCUUCGUGCACGAGGACUGACAAGGACCCAAGCAAUGACGCCGCCAAGAAGUCCACCAGCAAGGAUAGCUCCAAUGUUCCAACAUUUCUCGAGUUCAUAAGCCCCGAGGGGGAGAUCUUCAAAUGCGCCACAGACAUAGAAUCAGGCCAUUUGCAACGGCAAGACGACGUCGUGAACCUCGGAUGCUCUUGCAAGAACGAGCUGGCCCUCGCGCACUACGCGUGCGCACUCAAGUGGUUCAUCAGCCACGGGUCGACCGUGUGUGAGAUUUGCGGAGAUGUCGCCACAAACGUGAGGCCCGAGGAUUUCAACAUGGUGCUCGCGUCCUUGAAGGACUACGAAGCUCUGAGGGAAAGGACGUCCACCGGGGAUCUGUCCUACUUGCACUACAGGGCAGACGCGUUGGUCGACCCGGUCGCCCUCGCGGCGAGGCACAACAACGAAGAAGUGCCAGUCAGCCCAAGUAAUAAUUCUGUAGACUAUAGUGUUACGGCUGCGAGGGCAGCACAUGCGAGGCGGAAGUUCGGGAGUAGUGGAGCUUUUGUUGCUAUCGCCCUGGGUUUUGUUCUUCUUGCAUGGUUCGUUGCUCCACAUGUUGGCAAGAGAGCUGCUGCAAUCAUUCUUCAUAUGCUUCUGGGAGGCCUUUGCUCAUUGACUAUAAUAAUCUCUCUAAGAUUUGUUAGUCUUCCCGAGAAUCCAGUUUGGCUCGAUCCGAUGCUGGGCGAUCCUGUUCGUGUCCUGGUUCCUCGUCUUUGGAGUGUGGGCCUCGCGAACCCGCACCGCCCGUCGCGCUUCAUGAUGAUACCGAGUGUGCCCUCUGUCAGCCGUUGUGAGGAUUUGGGACCGCGUCGCAAGAGUAGCGUCCACGACGGCGUUAGACAUAGCUGGAGUAGUACUGGGCUGGCCAGUGUUGCAAAACAAUACAGUAAUAGUAUUAGUCAUGCUCCUUUUUAUGGUCUGCUGCUCUUGGUGCAUCUCUAG
rnacentral:rRNA from 1 species